rnacentral:rRNA from 1 species
GACGAACCGUGCGAACGUUGUUCGGAUUCACUGGGCUUAAAGGGCGCGUAGGCGGGCAAUCAAGUCAGGGGUGAAAGCCUCCAGCUUAACUGGAGAAGUGCCUCUGAUACUGGUCGUCUUGAGGGAGGUAGGGGCAUGUGGAACUUCCGGUGGAGCGGUGAAAUGCGUAGAUAUCGGAAGGAACGCCGGUGGCGAAAGCGGUCUGCUGGACCUCUACUGACGCUGAGGCGCGAAAGCCAGGGGAGCGAACGGG